rnacentral:lncRNA from 1 species
AUUGCAAUUUCCUCUCUAGUUUUCUGCUCUCUUUGAUCAUUUCCUAUCCCCCUUUCUUGAGAGGAGAUUCUGAACGUUGUUAAGCAGCUUUUGUUGCAGAUAUUUACAUUCAGUAACUGAUGCCCAGUGCAGAGCCUGCUAAUGGCUCAUUCAGGAAGAAAUACAUGAAGUGUGAGGUACAGUGAGGCUUAUAUUAAUCUUAUGUGUUCACACCUAAAAUUGACUUCAUAUUUUCAAAGAUUUUGAUGAAUAGUGCUGCAUUCAAGAAAACAGAAAACUAAAUAAAGCUCAAGUAAAGAUUUCCUGAUUAAGUAUUUUUCACAGGAACUAAACCUGAAAUCAAAGCUGGCUCCAGAGAUGUGCUCAACAUGCCAGUAGCAUGUUGCAGGCUGUUCUCUCCACCUCACUGCACAGAGAAAACACCCCAGAGUAUCCUGUUCAGAGCCACUUCCUCACCCUACAUCCCAGUGGAUGCAACUUCUGAAAGGAAGCAGAGCCGGCAAGGAUGGAGUACUUUUGGGAAUCAUUCCCAGCAUAUGGAGACUGCAUUCUGCAGCAAGCAAGGGCAGUUCCCUCAGCAAGUGGAAAAUGGGCUUCACCUCCCUGUGGUCUCCCUGUGGUUUGCUUCCCUUGCGAUAUUAUUUUUGAACAGCAGGCAAGAGCUCUGUGCUUCUUGUCCUGUUUAGUAAAUCCAAUAACCAAACCUGGCCCACUUCUGGGUGGUCCUCUCGAAAAACCCAAAAUCCAUGCCAAGGCCAUGUGAUAUAAUAAUCAUAAGAAAUACAGGGAUUGCUUUGACAUAUACCUCAAAAUCAAUUUUUCAGGAAAUGGGAUGUUUCAACCAAUGUGUCCAUUCCAUAUGGAUUUUGCCCCACACUAUUUCUUUUACUUAUUCAGUGUCUUUGUCCUUCAUUCCAGUAAAGCCAGAAUUACAAGCCUGGAAAAUGAAGAUCCCUGGUGCAUGAUGCUUGACUUGAUCUCAGGCUGGUAGACGUUAGCCUGCACAAAACGCCUCCCAAGUUAAGGAAUUCAGAUCUGGAUUUGCUGGGCAGCCCGACUGCUUUCAUGACCAAGAAAAAGAAAGAGAGAUGUUAAAAUCCAUCCAUAAAAAGCCAGCCAUGAAAACCCAAACGUAAGCAUGGUUUCCUUUUAUUUUGCUGCAUACUUUGCGGGUACAGCCGGCGCUCAGGGGCUGCUCGGGGCAGGCGGGGAUGCGGAGCGCUGCCCGGCCGGCGGGGCCGUGCCAGCGGCUCUCUGGCAGCCGCCGCUCC